CUCCCUGCCACCGAGGGCUUUGCAUUCCUUCGAGGCUUUCUGCACUUCACGUGGAAUCCCCUGUUUCAUUUGCCAGCAGCUCCGUCUGCUGAGAGGACGUACUUUGGGGACUGCCAAGAAGCAGCAGACACAACUCGGCUUUGCCAAUACAGCAUACGGUUUUCUUCUCUCCUCUCUCCCCACCCCCUCCCUCGGCUCGCCGUCUGGGCCGAGCGGGAGGAGGCGGAGCAGGAGGUGGGGAGAAGGGUGGGGGUGGGGGAAGAUCUGGCGCCGAACAAACAAGUUCGCCAGCGAGUUGUUUACAUAGCAGGUGGACCUGACGUCAGCCAGGAGGCUCCACUGGAAAUCCGAGCAAUAUUCUGCUCCGCGUUUCCCCCUCCCUUAAAGAAGUUGGGGGACCAGGGGAGAUCGCUGGAUGGGGGCGACAGGCAUCCUAACCGGCUGGUUUCAAACCACUUUGGGCAUCAACAACAACAAUCAACAAUAACAAGGCAAAGUAAAACAAAAACAAACAAGUGGCCCAGCAGUACUUUAGAAUCCUCUGAGACGUUCCUUCCCCCACCCCGCCCCUCCGAGGAGAGGCGGCUCCGCGCGCAGUGUGUGUACAGUUUGCAUUGCCAACAACACGCGCGCGCGGCCGGGUGCGCGCGCCCGCCAGCGCACACUCACACACAUAGACACACACACAUACAGACACACACACAGAUCCGGGUGGGGGGAGCGGCAGCGCGAGACAGCGCGAGCCUCCGAGAAAGCGCGAGACACGCCGGCGCGUGCAGCUCCGCGGCGGCCGCUGCGCCCCGGCUGGAGCCCCGCGCCACCCGCAGCCCGCCCGCGAGCGCCCGUCCCGGUUAUUUAUGCGGCGACCGCGGCCGCCGGCUUCGGCUUCCUCCAGCCCCCCCCGGGCGCGCCCCCCACUCGCGGCAGCAGCUGCCGGGACUUGCGCGUGGGUGUGUUGUUUGGGGGCUUCUGCCUCAGCGCCGCGGGUGCCACCUCCCGGGACGCUGCCCAGGCGUCCCUCGUCGCGGUAAGUUUCUUCACCCUCACUCUGGCGCGCUGCACCUCCGCACCCCACCCCGUCCCAGCCACCUCCACGCCGGGCCGGGCUGCGACUUUGCUCCGCGCUCCUCCAGUGGCGUCGGCGGCAAAGUUUCUCCCCAGCCGCAGCGCUCGGCGCGCCGGGGCGGGUGUGACAUGUGUCAAAUUUCGGCUUGGCGUCGGGGUCGCGUUCCUUACCCCGUAUCACCACUUGUUGUUCUUUUUCAUUUUGCUUUGUGA
rnacentral:lncRNA from 1 species